AAUAUCUCUCGGUAGGUGAGGUUACUCCAAGGAUAUGGAUUGCUGCCGUGAAAGGAUGGAGACACCCUGAACUGGUUAGCAGGUUUUGCCGAAAAAACAAGGCAUAACCUAACGCAAUUUCACGCCUUGAAGUGCCAAAACUUGAACGGGCAUCAGUGAAG
rnacentral:sRNA from 2 species